AUUAUUUGAUCAGAUAUAUAAUCAAGGAAAGGGGUGAAUGAAUAGCAGGACCAGUCUAUCCCUAUCCCAGCGAGAAGAUGAAAUUGGGAGGAUUGUGUGCGUUUGACAUUGAUCAACAGGAAAAGAGGCUAGAAGAGGAAGAGGCAGAAGCACAGUUAAAUAUGGAGCUUACUGAAGAGGUUGCUCAUGCUAAAAUGGCCAGAAACUUACGCAACAAGAUUCAUGGUAACUGCAUUGAUAAAUGAUGAAACUGAUGAAGCAUCAGCCAUCAUAAAGGGGCAACAAGCAGAGGAACUAUUUGGUACAACAUGUGAAGACCUCAUCCUGAACAAAAAUCAUGACAAUCCAAAUAUACUACCACCAGAAGUUCUCCGAACAGAAGGACAAAUCAAACUGCUGGAACUCGAAAUAGGCACUGCACAAAAUGUGAUUGUCAAGGCAAUCCAUGAAGAUAUUCGUGGACUGACUCCAACACAGAGAAUUCAGCCCUCAAACUCAACACCCAACAGCAUCCAGCCCUCAAACUCAACACCCAACAAAGUUGCAACAUCAAAAAGAAGGAACAUUUAAUCGUCUGACAAGCAACUUUCCAAAACAUAUCCAAGCAAAAAUCUCAAAACGGGCGACAUCUCUACAGAUUCACUUGCAGACUCAUCUGAAGACUUGAUGUAAAUAGUUAACAAUCUUCACAUGUUUUGGCCAAGCCUAACCAUUUUUUGCACAAUGUACAUAAACAACUACUUGGUUAGCAUAUCUAUUUUUGGAAAUCUGGCAAAGAUACCAGAUUUGCAAUC